GGGUGGAGUUGAAGGACGAUCCCGUGGGGAAUGAGAGUUUAAAGAAGGAGAAGGAUCACAGACAAUAGGAAUAUCAACAGUAGCAGGUGGAGGUACAGAACUAGAAGAUAAAUGUGAAAAAUAAAACGAAGAUUCAUCAAAAGUGACAUCAGCGGAGAUAAAAUGACAAUUGAGGGAAAGGAAAAAACACUUAUAGCCCUUUUGUGACCGUGAAAAUCCUAAGAAGACACAUUUGUGAGAUCUAGGAGAUAACUUAUCAAGACCAAGACUAAAAUCAUGAACGAAACAUGUAGACCC
rnacentral:lncRNA from 1 species